rnacentral:rRNA from 1 species
UACGGAGGGGGCUAGCGUUGCUCGGAAUCACUGGGCGUAAAGCGCACGUAGGCGGCUUCUUAAGUCAGGGGUGAAAUCCUGGAGCUCAACUCCAGAACUGCCUUUGAUACUGAGGAGCUUGAGUCCGGGAGAGGUGAGUGGAACUGCGAGUGUAGAGGUGAAAUUCGUAGAUAUUGGCUGGAACACCGGUGGCGAAAGCGGCUCUCUGGCCCGGUUCUGACGCUGAGGCGCGAAAGCGUGGGGAGCAAACAGG